rnacentral:rRNA from 1 species
GGAGCAUGUGGUUUAAUUCGAUGCAACGCGAAGAACCUUACCUACUCUUGACAUCCACAGAACUUUCCAGAGAUGGAUUGGUGCCUUCGGGAACUGUGAGACAGGUGCUGCAUGGCUGUCGUCAGCUCGUGUUGUGAAAUGUUGGGUUAAGUCCCGCAACGAGCGCAACCCUUAUCCUUUGUUGCCAGCGCGUCAUGGCGGGAACUCAAAGGAGACUGCCGGUGAUAAACCGGAGGAAGGUGGGGAUGACGUCAAGUCAUCAUGGCCCUUACGAGUAGGGCUACACACGUGCUACAAUGGCAUAUACAAAGAGAAGCAAACUCGCGAGAGCAAGCGGACCUCAUAAAGUAUGUCGUAGUCCGGAUCGGAGUCUGCAACUCGACUCCNGAAGUCGGAAUCGC